UACGUAGGGUGCAAGCGUUAUCCGGAAUUAUUGGGCGUAAAGAGCUCGUAGGCGGUUUGUCGCGUCUGCUGUGAAAACUGGAGGCUCAACCUCCAGCCUGCAGUGGGUACGGGCAGACUAGAGUGCGGUAGGGGAGAUUGGAAUUCCUGGUGUAGCGGUGGAAUGCGCAGAUAUCAGGAAGAACACCGAUGGCGAAGGCAGAUCUCUGGGCCGUAACUGACGCUGAGGAGCGAAAGCAUGGGGAGCGAACAGG
rnacentral:rRNA from 1 species